CUGGCCAGGGCUGAACUUUUUUUUAAAAUAACUACUUGUAAGUUAGAUGGAAAACAAAUAGCAGAUUGAGACUGACCAUACAUUUUAGAUUUGGGGAAGAUAGCUUAGAGAGAAUUGGUUCUUUUUUCUCCUGUCCUAUCACUUACAGUUUUUAAACUAAACGUUAUAGGCCAUUAUUACUGAAUAUUUUACCAGUAUUGCUGUAAUUGACUUGAGCAGUCUGCCAACCUCACUGGAAGGAAUGUGAGAAACUAUGUAGGUAAUUGUUGGAGCCACAUAUAUGCUCGGUUCUUGGAACCCAAGAUCGGUAUGGGCUUGUUUGUAUUAAAUGUAGCUUCUUUGAUUAGAAGGAAACUAAAUUUUAUGCUUGAUCCUGCUGUUUUUAUAAAACUGUGGGAGAAUUUUGAAGAGUCAGUGUCCUACUAGAAAUACCCAAGGCUUUCAUUUAGCACAAGGCGUCUAAUGAUUUGGGCUUUGGAGUUACAGUGUCAGCACGCCCUACGGAGUAGGACCUUGGAGUGUUUCAUCUGGAAAUCAUGGAAAACAGAGGCAUCGGCCGGAGUGUGUGGGCAGGGGGCUUUGUUAAUAAGCCCAGGAAUACUGGUGGGGGCUUGGGGGGGGAGACAGAAUCAUAGGACGUUUUAAGACAAGACAUUGGAUGUCAAGGCCACGUGUGUUGCCACCUGUGGCCCUGGGCUGACCGUAACUCUUGAGGAGUAGUUCCGUUCACUCACCCCUACUUUGGAAGGCAUGGAAGUGGAGGAUGGAAAGCUGUGAUAGAGCCCAGCCUUCCAUUUUACUGACAGAGAAGCGAGGCCCAGAGGGAUUAAGAACCCUGCCCACCUUACAUAGGAAGUGACUUUGCAUAAUGGGGGCUGUUUGGCAGGUGUAUCUUAGCGCUGUCUUCUACAGAUAUCCAAAUUGUGUUUCAUGUGAAGGCCUUCAGCGAUGCUCAUUGGAUUAGAGAGGACCCCAGCACUGGCUCAUUGCUUAUUGGAAAAUGAUCUCUGAGAGACCGGUUUUGUCAUUAUUUCAGUAAAGCUGGUUACUCGGGAGCUAUCUGUGUGCUGUGGAAGGCACACAGGAGAGCAUGGGUCCUGCGGGUCAAGGAGCGGGGUGGGCAGUUGCAAAUAUGUGGUUUUUGCCCGGGGCCAAAGCAGCCACAACAGAAGGGUGGCUCUUCUGGGAGGUGGUUGGCACCAAGAGCAGUGUUUUAUCAUUGCUUAUGAACAUAAUCACUCUCCUCCCUGUCAGCCACUUCUGUGUCCUCUGGCAACACCUUGCAGAUUGGGUUGUAAAUGGCACCCACUUAACACUUAACUGAAUUAAACUUGUUCAUAAAGUAUGGGGGGGUGUGUGCACGCGCACAUUUACCGAAUUUUCACAGUGGAACUCUGUUUUAU